GACGAACGCUGGCGGCGUGCUUAACACAUGCAAGUCGAACGGAAAGGCCCUGCUUAUGUGGGGUGCUCGAGAGGCGAACGGGUGAGUAACACGUGAGUAACCUGCCCUUGACAUUGGGCUAAAUUCAGGAAACUAGGGCUAAUACAGGAUAGGUGAUACUGCAGAAUGGUGGGAGAGGGAAAGUUAGGGCGGUUGGGGAUUGACUUGCGGCUUAUGGGCUUGUGGGUGGGGUAGUGGCUUACCAAGGCAUUGACGGGUAGCCGGACUGGGAGGGUGACCGGCCACAUUGGGACUGAGAUACGGCCCAGACCCCUACGGGAGGCAGCAGUGGGGAAUAUUGCACAAUGGGCGGAAGCCUGAUGCAGCAACGCCGCGUGCGGGAUGUCUGCCUGCGGGUUGUAAACCGCUUUCGCCUGGUAUGAAGCGUGAGUGACGGUAAUGGAUAAAUAAGCACCGGCUAACUACGUG
rnacentral:rRNA from 1 species